GGUGCAGUGUAGGCUGUUGGGAGGGACAAGUCAGCAGCCUUACCUGUCCUGAGAGCUAUGAGUUACAAUGAUGACCAGCAUGGCAAGCUAUGCCCAUGGAUGCAAUAGUGGCACAAACGUCAUGGGGACCAACAACUGCUUUCUGCUUGGAUUUAAGGCCCACUCCACGGGAGGAAAACCAUGCCUGGCUCGGUAAAUCUGACCAAGAACCCAGGACUAGGGAGCUCACAGGUCCCAAUGUUGAACCUACUACUAUUUUGCUAAAUGGACACAGUAUGAAACUGUCCUCCAAAAGAUGUUCUCUUUACCCACAGAUUAGUGAAAUUCUCAGCCCUUAUCAGAGAACCUUCCUCAUGUAGUGGGUGGCGGUUAACACAGACACAACUAGCCCAAGUGCAGAGUAAGUGUCUAUGGAGUGACACUCUGCAUAAACGGGACGACUGCAUCACAAACCUUCCUCCCACAGCUUAGGGAAUUUCAUGGAUGAGGGAGCAGAAAGAUUAUAAGAGCCAGAGGUUGGGGAGGACUGGGGCAAAGCAGGGUCUCCUGGACACCACGGACCGAUGCACUCAUGAACUCACAGCAACCAGCCAACAUUCUGGCAUGGAGGGGGAGGGGCUCCCAAGCACCCACCCCUAGCUGAGGAGCUAUUUACAGUUGCUGGCUGGUAGAGGAGAGUCAGUUUUCUUCAGGAGUGUGGUCCCUGGUAGCUCGACUAUGUGCCAGUGGAUGGUCGCACACCCAUGGGUAUAAGGGUCAUGGGGGUCAAAGGAAAAAUAGACAAAUUAGGAGAAGGGAUAGGUCGUUGGGGGUGGACUGGAUCUGGGAGGAGUUCGGCAGGUGAAUAUGAUAAAAAAGCAUUGUAUGCAUCUACGAAAUUCUCAACAUACGUAUGCAUAUCUCUAUGUAUCAAUUUUAGGAACACAAGCUCAUACGUGGCACCAGGCUAGGACAGAGGGGCCUUUUUUCCCUAGGAGAGUUUGCUUGGGGUGACUAAGGAAAAUCUGGCACUAUUUAAAAUAAUAUUUUUUUACUUUUUGUUUUUUUAAGACAGACUCUCACUAUAUAUCCCCCUUGGCUGGCCUCCAAAUCACAGAGAUGCGCCUGCUUCUGCCUCCUGAGAAGGAUUAAAGGCAUGUGCUACCUCUGUGUUUCACUCCUAUUUGAACUUUCCUAUAGUUAAAAAGGAGUCAACUGGACCAGGAGGAACUGCAGAUCUGAGGAGUCAGCUCCUCCCCCUUCUUCAGGCUGCAGCUCAGGAGUGAAUGAAACCCACACACCCUCCUCAGACAUGCCAAGAGUACACUCAGGACAACACUUGAAACAUUCUGGUCCAGUCCCCAGGUGCGCCGUGGAUACAGGCUUCAUGCAGGCAGCAUGGCCCUCACAGUGAACUCAUCACCAGGAUCUGCCCUCGGCCAAAAUGAAAGCUGCUUAGUGAUGGAUGUGCGGGAGGCUGGCCAGGAGAGCACAGCCGAGGCUCUGCAGGAGCACAGAGAAGGUGCCAGCUGAUGGUCUCAUCACUCUUCUGUCUCUGGGGACUGUGGCAUGGAUUCAAUGUCCUGGGCUUGGAGCUGGAGUCCAAGCAAGCCAAGGAGUCAAAUUCUGCCUCACUGCCUCAAACCUCACCACACAACAGCCACCCUUCAAGCUCUGUCAUCCCAGGAUGAUGAUGGUCCACCACUCCCCUGCAGGGUCUACCAGGCACAGGCAGGCUGGGACCCUAGGACCCUAGUUUGGUACCCAGAAGAGCAUUGCAGAGGGAGGCAGGCAGUUUGCCUGUGGCUCGGGCUGGUGGGAUCUCCCAUCAAGGGAGUAAAAAUGUGGCUGUGUCCCUGCUGGGUCUGGAACUGAUGGAAGGAGACAGAUGGCUCCCUGUGCAUAGCCCCCACCACGACACAGCUGCGGCUUCCUGCAGCCUGACCCCCUUUAUGGGCAAAAUAAAUAAACUUAUGGCGCUGCUGGCGCUGUUUCUCACGGAAGCUGGGGAGGGGGGAGAAGGAAAAAGCUUUUCCAGAAGCCCGAGGCUGUCAACAGGGAGAAGGGGGCUGGUGGCCACAGGGGCCCGGGCAGCUCUUGGCUGCUAGAGUACCCACCUGUAGUCAUGGGCUGGCCCCCCGCUCCCAGUCUCUGGGGGCUCCCCAUGCAUAUCCCAGAGAGAAAAGGUAAGGCCAAGGGGACUGUGAUAGCUUAGGGUGUGGUGACCCUGAAAUGGAGGGGCCUACCUGGUAAGACGGAUGGAGGGGGCGAGGGCUGUGGCUCUGGGUGCCAUGGACCCAGUUGGGAGGACUCAGGUGUGCUGCUUACCUUGCUAGGGCCUGGCUCUCUCACCAUGAAACAAGGGCUCUGGGGUGACCCGUGAGGUUCUCCCUGUAGAGCCUAGAGCAUGUGACUAUGUGCAAGGCUUGCCCCUACACUUAAGUGUUCAUGUGUGUUCAUAUGUGUGUGGGCUCAUCCUGCUGCUGGCAGGUGCUCCAAGGAUGUGGCCACUGCUGUGUGUCUGCUCACCCAAGGCCUGGAGGAGAGCCCAAUGUCUUUGCAGGUCAUCUAAGUUGGCUCAGCGGGCACUGAGGACGGCUUGCCCACUCAUAGGAACCCAAGGCCAAGGGCCGCACCCCACAGCCACAGUUUAAAAGUAUACUGCUAAGCCGGGCGUGGUGGUGCACACCUUUAAUCCCAGCACUUGGGAGGCAGAGG